AACCCCCAGUGGCAGGUUUUACCCUCACAAAAGGAUAUGCUUAUGGUUCAUCCAGAAUCGUGGAAUCCAGAGUGGUCUGUAGCAAGCAUACUAACAGCGCUCCUAUCAUUUAUGGUAAGUUACUUUUUCAUCAGCUACAAUUAGCAAAAAGAACAGCUUACUAGG